rnacentral:rRNA from 1 species
AAACCAACAGGGAUUGCCUCAGUAACGGCGAGUGAAGCGGCAAAAGCUCAAAUUUGAAAUCUAGCACUUUCAGUGUUCGAGUUGUAAUUUGAAGAAGGUAACUUUGGUUUUGGCUCUGUCUAUGUUCCUUGGAACAGGACGUCACAGAGGGUGAGAAUCCC